rnacentral:lncRNA from 1 species
UUUUUAACUAACUUGAAAUACUUUUAUAUUAUUUUAGGAUUAAAUCUAAUGAAGCUGAUGACUGUCAAAAAGAACUUAGAAAAUUGAAGUUUGAAUCCAUUAUCUCUGAAUCACGGCACACUAGGUUGCUUAAAGAAAAAGAAGACUCUUUAAUGACUUGUCAACAAAUAUAUAAAACUUUACAGGAAGAGCUGUCUAUAAAAGAAAGGCAAGAAGAAGACAUAAAAAGAAGAAUUCACCUUGCCGAAAAUGAACUGCACAUAACUAAAACUCUCUUGAAUCAGACAAAGGAAGAGGUUGUAACAUUGAAAAAUGAAAGGGAAAUGAUGCUGAUUUCACAUCAGAAAAGCAUUGAGCAGCUGCGGGAAACCCUAAGACAGAAGCUGCUGAACGAUGAUAACUGGAGGGAGAAGGUAACAGUGUAUGAUUCCCAUCAGCGUGUGUCU